GGGCACGUAGCUCAGCGGUAGAGCACUACGUUGACAUCGUAGGGGUCACAAGUUCGAACCUUGUCGCGCCCACCA
rnacentral:tRNA from 1 species